rnacentral:rRNA from 1 species
GAUGAACGCUGGCGGCGUGCCUAAUACAUGCAAGUCGAGCGGACAGACGAGGAGCUUGCUCCUCUGACGUUAGCGGCGGACGGGUGAGUAACACGUGGAUCACCUACCUAUAAUACUGGGAUAACUUCGGGAAACCGGAGCUAAUACCAGAUAAUAUAUUGAACCGCAUUGUUCAAUAGUGAAAGGCGGUUUUGCUGUCACUUAUAGCUGGAUCCGCGCCGCAUUAGCUAGUUGGUAAGGUCACAGCUUACCAAGGCAAUGAUGCGUAGCCGACCUGAGAGGGUGAUCGGCCACACUGGAACUGAGACACGGUCCAGACUCCUACGGGAGGCAGCAGUAGGGAAUCUUCCGCAAAGGGCGAAAGCCUGACGGAGCAACGCCGCGUGAGUGAUGAAGGUCUUCGGAUCGUAAAACUCUGUUAUUAGGGAAGAACAAAUGUGUAAGUAACUAUGCACGUCUUGACGGUACCUAAUCAGAAAGCCACGGCUAACUACGUA